rnacentral:rRNA from 1 species
AUGUUUGUGAAGAAGUACAUGAGACUUCAGUUUGACAGGGAGGCAGAGGAGAACUACGAGGAGAAGCGGACACGAAUAGGGAGACCACUAUACAAAGCAAACUUAGCUAUUGAGCGGCAUGCUGGCAAGAUAUACACACGAGCUAUGUUUCAGCAGUUUGGGCACAUACUGUAUGAGUGCGGCGCAUACCAGGUUGAAGAGCUUGAGAAGGGGAAACUUUACCUUACUAUUCAUACAGAGGCAGCGAGGAGGGAGAAGUGGUGA